rnacentral:rRNA from 1 species
CCUACGGGUGGCAGCAGUGGGGAAUAUUGCACAAUGGGGGAAACCCUGAUGCAGCAACGCCGCGUGAAGGAAGACGGUUUUCGGAUUGUAAACUUCUGUUCUUAGUGAAGAAUAAUGACGCUAGCUCAGGAGCAAGCCACGCCUAACUACGUGCCAGCAGCCGCGGUAAUACGUAGGUGGCAAGCGUUGUCCGGAAUUACUGGGUGUAAAGGGCGUGUAGGCGGGAAAGCAAGUCAGAGGUGAAAACCAUGGGCUCAACCUGUGGCCUGCAUUUGAAACUGUUUUUCUUGAGUACUGGAGAGGCAGACGGAAUUCCUAGUGUAGCGGUGAAAUGCGUAGAUAUUAGGAGGAACACCAGUGGCGAAGGCGGUCUGCUGGACAGCAACUGACGCUGAGGCGCGAAAGCGUGGGGAGCAAACAGGAUUAGAUACCCUUGUAGUC